AUUGAACGCUGGCGGCAUGCCUUACACAUGCAAGUCGAACGGUAACAGGUCUUCGGAUGCUGACGAGUGGCGAACGGGUGAGUAAUACAUCGGAACGUGCCUAGUAGUGGGGGAUAACUACUCGAAAGAGUGGCUAAUACCGCAUGAGAUCUACGGAUGAAAGCAGGGGAUCGCAAGACCAUGUGCUACUAGAGCGGACUAUGGCAGAUUAGGUAGUUGGUGGGAUAAAAGCUUACCAAGCCGACGAUCUGUAGAUGGUCUGAGAGGACGAUCAGCCACACUGGGACUGAGACACGGCCCAGACUCCCACGGGAGGCAGCAGUGGGGAAUUUUGGACAAUGGGCGAAAGCCUGAUCCAGCAAUGCCGCGUGCAGGAUGAAGGCCUUCGGGUUGUAAACUGCUUUUGUACGGAACGAAAAGCCCUGGGUUAAUACCCUGGGGUCAUGACGGUACCGUAAGAAUAAGCACCGGCUAACUACGUGCCAGCAGCCGCGGUAA
rnacentral:rRNA from 1 species